GACGAACGCUGGCGGCGUGCUUAACACAUGCAAGUCGAACGGAAAGGCCCCUUUGGGGGUACUCGAGUGGCGAACGGGUGAGUAACACGUGAGUAACCUGCCCUUGACUUCGGGAUAACUUCAGGAAACUGGGGCUAAUACCGGAUAGGAAUCCUUGCUGCAUGGUGGGGGUUGGAAAGCUUCGGCGGUUUUGGAUGGACUCGCGGCUUAUCAGCUUGUUGGUGGGGUAGUGGCUUACCAAGGCUUUGACGGGUAGCCGGCCUGAGAGGGCGACCGGCCACAUUGGGACUGAGAUACGGCCCAGACUCCUACGGGAGGCAGCAGUGGGGAAUAUUGCACAAUGGGCGGAAGCCUGAUGCAGCAACGCCGCGUGCGGGAUGACGGCCUUCGGGUUGUAAACCGCUUUCAGCAGGGGCGAAGCUUGUGGUGACGGUACCUGCAGAAUAAGCACCGGCUAACUACGUG
rnacentral:rRNA from 1 species